rnacentral:rRNA from 1 species
CAAUAGCGUAUAUUAAAGUUGUUGCAGUUAAAAAGCUCGUAGUUGGAUUUCUGGUGGGAGCGAUCGGUCUGGCGCUUAGCGCGAGUACUUGCAUCGUCUCCGGCCAUCCUUGGGGAGAGUCUGUCUGGCAUUAAGUUGUCGGGCAGAGGAUCCUCAUCGUUUACUGUGAAAAAAUUAGAGUGUUCAAAGCAGGCUUAUGCCGUUGAAUAUAUUAGCAUGGAAUAAUAAGAUAGGACUUUGGUACUAUUUUGUUGGUUUGCGCACCAAAGUAAUGAUUAAUAGGGACAGUUGGGGGGUAUUCGUAUUCCGUUGUCAGAGGUGAAAUUCUUGGAUUUACGGAAGACGAACUACUGCGAAAGCAUUUACCAAGGAUGUUUUCAUUAA